rnacentral:misc_RNA from 1 species
AAUUUUUAUACUGGGAGGAAGAGGGUGGUUUGUUCAAUGGCGACGGAGGACAAAGUGAUUUCUGGUGAUAGAAUGCUGGUGUUUGUUCCGCCACAUCCUCUGAUUAAGCACUGGGUUUCAGUUCUUCGAAAUGAGCAGACGCCUUGCCCUGUUUUCAAGAAUGCCAUGGCUGAGCUAGGUAGAUUGCUUAUUUAUGAAGCUUCAAGAGAUUGGUUGCCUACCAUCACAGGAGAGAUCCAGUCACCAAUGGGUAUUGCAUCUGUGGAAUUCGUUGAUCCAAGGGAACCUGUUGCAAUUGUUCCCAUCUUGAGAGCUGGUCUGGCUCUUGCAGAGCAUGCAACAUCAAUUUUGCCCGCUACAAAAACAUAUCAUUUGGGAGUAAGCAGAAACGAAGAAACACUUCAGCCCUCUGUCUACUUGAACAAGUUGCCUGAUAAAUUUCCUGAAGGUUCUCGUGUGAUUGUUGUAGAUCCAAUGCUUGCAACUGGUGGUACAAUUGUUGCAGCGAUUGACCUAAUAAAGGAACGUGGGGUUGACAAUAGUCAGAUUAAAGUGGUAUGUGCAGUGGCUGCUCCUCCUGCUCUCACAAAGCUCAGUGAGAAGUAUCCACGCUUACAUGUAUACGCUGGAAUACUUGACCCAACUGUUAACGAGAAAGGGUUUAUUAUCCCCGGAUUGGGUGAUGCUGGAGACCGUAGCUUUGACACAUGAAGUAAACACGAAUCAGUUGAUGAAUUUUCUUGCCACUUCUUACAUUCUUUAUAGAAGUGAAACACGCCUUGUGAUGACACGAGUUGGGCGUUGACCCCCCUUCCCCCUCCCCCAACCAUGUUGCUUAACUUGUUUUCCACCACAUCAUUGUUUCCCAAUUUUGGAACCUAUGCCUCUGUUUCGUUUUUGAAAGGACGUGUAAUGGGUAGAGAAUAUUGAAGAAGUGUGAAAUAGCUUGAAAUGAAGGUUAUAACGCCAAAGUUUUGGCGGUCUCAUCAUUUUUCUACAGUCUUAUAUCUGUUCUCGGAGGUCUUUUUGAAAGAACCUCUACCACCACAAGAUAGGGAUAAGAUGUGCACACGCUUUUAAGUUCAGAAACACAAUUUUAAACUUCAAUGUUGCAGAUCGAAGUUUGAUUCUGUUUUUGUAAUUUUUGAUUGAUUUG